rnacentral:rRNA from 1 species
GACGUAGGGCGCGAGCGUUGUCCGGAUUUAUUGGGCGGAAAGAGUUCGUAGGCGGCUUGUUGCGUCGACCGUGAAAACCCGGGGCUCAACUUCGGGCUUGCGGUCGAUACGGGCGGGCUAGAGUUCGGUAGGGGAGACUGGAAUUCCUGGUGUAGCGGUGAAAUGCGCAGAUAUCAGGAGGAACACCGGUGGCGAAGGCGGGUCUCUGGGCCGAUACUGACACUGAGGAGCGAAAGCGUGGGGAGCAAACAGG